rnacentral:lncRNA from 1 species
CACGUGGAAACGAACCCUUUUGUCCUUAAUUACAGCAAGCGCGUUGGGACAGGCCACUCAGGAUGCAGUCAGCCAGAUUACAGAUGCCGGCCAGAAAGCUGUGGAUAAGGCUUGUAAGACAGCACAGGAUGGUGCAGAAAAAGCAGCCGGGCAAGCUGCAGAAGCACUGUCUGGCUUUGGGAAAAAAUGUGGAUUUAAGAAAUGAUGUCGAUGUAAGCAAACAGUACUGCAUGUAUAGCCCACCUUUGCGAUUCCCUACUCCUCUGUGUAGAAAGCGAAAGCUAUCUGAGACCUGGAUAACUACUCUCCCCCCACAUACAAA